ensembl:lincRNA
CCCAGCCCUACACAGGUCACACCACCCAAGCUCUGCGGCUGCAUUUCACAGGAAACCAAACCUAAACGGACGUAGGAAGAGAGUUCUGCUGAAGGACACUGCUGAACAUUGAGAAUAUUUCAACCCCCUGCCUCCUGGAUUACUGGCUCCUGGAGUUCUCCGUAAUGCCCUCACGGACCCCUCAUGCAAGGGACAUCUCAGCACAAGGCUGUUUGCACUCCCAACACUGCUCAGGCUGAGUUGAAGAUCCCUCUCAUUUGCCGGGUGCCAAGAAAGAUGAACAGACCGGGCAAUAGAAAAAUAGCCAAAGAAGGAUCCAGUGAUUUGAAAUUCCAGAACUUCGCUCUGCCGAAAAAUAGGUCAUGGCCCGGAAUCGACAGUGCCACAGGACAGUACCAGACUAUUAACGAGCCUCCUCUUGAUAGUGAAAGGAAUUCCAUAGCAGUCGUGGCUGGAGCAAAAGGCCACACAGAUGGUGACUAUGAAGACCCUGAGCUGCACAUGGGAGAAGACUGGCAAUCAGUGAAAAUCUUACCAGCCAGGCCUAUUAAGGAAUCUGAAUAUGCAGAUACACGCUAUUUCAAGGGUAUGAUGGACACACCACUGUCUUUAGAUUCCAAGACCUCUCUCCCCACAGACAGGCAAACCUGGAUGAAGCUGGAAAAAGUAAGUAAAAGCUUGACUGCAUGAACCAAACAUGGGCACUGCCUAGCAACCAAGAGCUUUACCGUCUCUCAUUUCCAAGGUGUCUUGUUGGAAUGCCUUGGUGAUGAGCAGGUCAGGCUCAGUGAGGUGCAGAGUAAUUCAGCUGGAAGGAUCGUGGUCCUUUGAAUAGGUAACUAGAAGGGAAGAGAACUAACAUUUGUGAGAGAUUUUCUGAGAGCCAGACAUCAGGCUAAGGACUUUCACCUGCAUCUCACUUAAUACUUAUCCUGUUCUCUAGGAGCAGAAUUUAAACUCAAAUCUCUUUGAUAAUAACAUAUCAUUUUGUCCAAAUUUAGGCCCAGUGAUUCCAACUGCUAAUGGUAUGGUAAUAAGCACAGUCAGCCCUCCAUAUCUGUCAGUUCCCCAUCUGUAGAUUCAAUCAAGGAUUAAAAAAAAAAUUCCAUUAAAUUUCAAGAAGCAAAACUUGAAUUUACCACAUGCCAGCAACUAUUUACAUAGCACUGACAUUGUAUUAGAUAUUACAAGUAAUCUAGAGAUAAUCCAACCAACCAAGGAUUUUGUGGUUCCUGAAUAUGUACUUGAUGAAAAAAUCUGAGUAUAAGCAGACCCACACAGUUCAAACCCAUGCCAUUAAGGGUUUCACUGUCUACAGAAGGAUAUGCAUAGGUUAUUUACAAAUAUUCUGCAAUUUCAUAUGAAAGACUUGAGCAUCCACAGAUUUGGAUAUUCAAGGAGCGUGCUGAAAGUAAUCCCUGGCAGAUAUGAAGGGACAACUGUAGGUCAACCUCUCUGAACCUCUUUCUUUAAAAACCCAUUGGCCAAACAGGAGUAACAAUCUCUGCCAUGCUUACUUCAAAAAGCUGUUGAAUAUAUCUUGUAAAUGUAAGUGCUCUAAACACAUAUAAUAUUUUGUUUUUAAUAACAUUGCACAAAAUACAAAUUAGUCAUCCCUGAGGUUGCAAGGCUAUCAGUCAUAACAUUUGGGUAAAUUUCAUGUCAAUAUUUUCUAUGCUAAUGUAUUUCAUGUAAGGAAGUCUUUGUUGUAUGGUAUAUACUGGUUUUCCCUCCUUUGCACAUUUGUUUCAGUCAUGCAACUAUCUCCCAUGUCAUAAAACAAGCAUCAAUAAGCAUAAUCUUUACAGAUACUUCACUC